rnacentral:rRNA from 1 species
AUGUGGGAGUUUGGACACGAGACACAUCUGACUCUUAAAUCCAUGGCCCACCCAAAAGGAAGGCGCAUCCCACACUUUUGUAGCAUCCUGCAUUGUUUCUGCGCCAAAAUCCCCCACUCUCUUCUUCCAUCAUGCCAGUCUUCACCCAAUUCCCGCUCUUUUUUCCACAUUCUUCUUCGCUCCCGAUGUCGAUGCAUGGAACCGGACGAGAACCAGCCAGAGAUGGAGGUGGUGGAGGUGCAGGAGGAUCCGAGCAUCACGCUCACCCAGAAGAUCAACUCGGUGACACGACAAAAUCACCGCGUCAAAGCGAAGGCCGCAAAGGAGGAAAAACUCAGGAAGUGGAAGGCCAGCGAAGGGCGUGCUGAUGGAGGCCGUGACGGUGGGCGUGCUGGUCGCGGCCAAGGCUGCGGAGCCUCGAUGGUGUCGCCUACCGUCCAGAUGCCGCCAUGGCUGGAGCAUUACAAGGUUGGGUACAACUUCGCCACCAAGUAG